rnacentral:lncRNA from 1 species
AGGCACGCAGACUUCCGUUGGUUGCACGUAGUGAGUCUAAGGAACCUGGUUCUAGUAAGUGAGUUUAAAACCCUAAUGGUUUACCAUUUUAGAUUUAGAGUUUAUUAAUCCUAUUUAAUUUAAUACAAUAAAUUAUUUAUCUGAUUUAAAAUUAAAAAUAAGUCUAGAUAUGGGUGUUUAAAAUUAAAGAAUAAUCAAUUCAUUACUAACCCGAUACGGAUAUCACUGUAACAUUUUAAUUUUGUACAUCAGAAAUAAUUUCACGAACAAGAUUUAGACAGAAAUCAGAUAAGUGCAUAAGCGCUUACAAAUGUAGUUUAAUCUUUCUAAGAUAUUAAAACUAUGGCGUUUAAUAAUUGAUAAUUAAGCACAAGAUUCAGAUGAGAUUUUACUGUUGAUUAUUGUGUUUCUAUUUAUGUUUACUACUGAAAUUG